GCGGUAUACGGGUAUAUUUCGAAAGGGAAGUUCGUCGGUCAGUCUGAUGACUCAGUCAGUCAAAAGUCAAAACGUUUACUCACGUCCGUUUUGUUGGCCGAGCGAUUUGUGCUUGUGUAGGGCCCUAAAGGUUCUCCUCCUUGGUAGUGGGCUGCAGGGCUCCUGCCACCAGCAAGCCAGUGGGAGCCUAACAGUAUCGGCUCCCACUAUGUUGCCACUUCUGCUGAGGUUUGCUGCCUGAAGAACUGUGCCAGCAAGUCAUUGUCAUGAGAAAUUUGAUGCCUUGGUGUAUGAUGAAAGCAGUCAAAAGGGGGACAGGCCAAGGGCGCACACUCCUAGGAAACUUUCAAAAAGUGUCAGACAUGACGUGUUUACACACGGUCAGUUGUGUGAAUUUGUGUGUUUCAUGAGGGAGCAUUUUGAAAGACACAGGGAAGGAUGUAGGAGUGCCUCUACUUCCUAGCUGGUUGGCCGAGGUGGUGGAGCAAAUUGCAGCUGCUCUACAAAUUGGUGAAUGACCAAUGAUAAGAAUCUUGUAGGAGAUAUUCAUGAAAGAAGAAUCAGAUGAGUCGUCUAAAUUGGAGACACCUAGGAAGAAGAGGCUUGUUGAAAACGGGGUCACAAAUCUCGACUCUUUGUAGGAAGAUGUGAUUCGUUAUCAGAUAUUUGCAUAUGAUUCAAGGAAGGAGUUUUCAACCCUCAAAAAGCUACAAGUUGCUGUUGUUGCAGUGGACCUGUUUCGGGAUAGUAAAUAGUCCCUUGUUAUGAAUCAUGAAAAAGUUAGGAUUUCACUAUAAAUCCAUUUCUGGCCACCAGUUACUACUGGAAGGCCAAGAUGUUGCAGUCUUGCAAUGCUGUUUGUUUAGAGAAUUAGUAGGGACAAAUUUUGACGAUAUUGUGUGGUUUGCUGAAAGAUGCGUAAGUGUGAGAGACAGUUUAAAAAAAAAAAAGGCUGGAUAGAUGAUACCAUCAGCAGUAGUAUGGCAGCUCCGAUUGGCAGAGGAAAACAAUU